GCAGUCCUGUCAAACAAUGACGCUGGCCCUUCAAACCAAGAAACACUGCCGUUUCCGCAGCACACGUAUGCACAGACUGUGCAUCAAGGUCAUUAUUGGAACACCUGCAUAAUUUUUUAUCACACAUUCUCUAUACUGUAAUUGCUGCUUCAUCGCAACUUUCUGUUGUUGUUGUUGACUUCUGCUAGUUUUGGGGAUCAACUUACUGUUGGACUUGGUGAGCACAAUCCUUCUGUGCCACAGAAUGGAGCUCCUUACUCUCUGCACCAGGGAACUAUCUUAAAUGAUCAGGGACAAUUUUCAGCACAGUCCACUAUUCCGCCCAACAAUUUUUCAUCAGUUCCACAGGAUGACAUGAUCGCAGGUGCAAGUCAAACUGACCAGGGAACCCCUUCACUUGACCCUGUUCUGGCUGACAUCUCCAGUGGGUUUUCUUCAGUUCCAUUCGAGGACUACAGCAGCCUGGAUGGAACCGACUAUCUGACAGACUAUGGCAUUGCACUAGCUAACAACGCAGAACUGCCGAAUCCCAACAGCCCAUUUGAUGGUCAUGGACAUGAUGGCGGCAACCAGUGACAGAUUAAACUUCAGACCGCUGCAACAGGCUUUCCUCUACUAGACUAAACAUGGUGGUGGUGAUUACAGCAUUCAGUGUGAUUAAACAUUUCUUCUGUAAAUAUUGAUA